UCCUUUUAUGAAAAGUUUUUCCAGUAUCUUAGAGAACUGGGAAAGGAUCGACACUGGUCUAUAAUUUGUAAAAUGAUACUUUUCACCUGUUUCGUAAAUGGGAAUAACUUUAGCAACUUUCAUUUUUUGUGGAAAACCCCCUUUUUGAAGAGACAAGUUGAAUAUAUAUUUUCAACAGUAAUGGUAUUACAGUAGUCCACUGAAAACAAAUGUAAUGUAAUUACUUUUGAUUGUGUUACAGGCCACACCUGAGCACCAGCUGCAGACACUUGUUGUUCUCAUCAUGGACAGUUACCACGGCGGACAUUUGCAGCUGCAGUAGAAAGCCAUGCCUAUGACUGUGCCAGACCACAUUUUGAACAACACCACGGAAACGUCAGAUUUCACACAGGUGGUUGGAUGUUACACUCCGGAAAUGGAAGGAAGAGGGUUCGACCAACGGCAAGCAGUGGCUGGAGAUGUACUGGUUGUUGUAGAAACGACGCAGGAGGGGCAUGGAUUCCUCCACCUGCAGGA